rnacentral:rRNA from 1 species
AUCAACUUUCGAUGGUAGGAUAGAGGCCUACCAUGGCGGUAACGGGUAACGGGGUGUUAGGGCACGACACCGGAGAGGGAGCCUGAGAAACGGCUACCACAUCCAAGGAAGGCAGCAGGCGCGCAAAUUACCCAAUCCCGACACGGGGAGGUAGUGACAAUAAAUAACAAUACAGGGUUCUUUUGGAUCUUGUAAUUGGAAUGAGUACAAUUUAAAUCUCUUAACGAGGAACAAUUGGAGGGCAAGUCUGGUGCCAGCAGCCGCGGUAAUUCCAGCUCCAAUAGCGUAUAUUAAAGUUGUUGCAGUUAAAAAGCUCGUAGUUGAAUUUCGGGAUCAAUAUUUCGGUCAUGCCGUUGGUAUGCACUGUUAUCAUUGAUUUCUCACCUUCUAAAGAACCGUAAUGCCAUUAAUUUGGUGUUACGGGGAAUUAGGACUGUUACCUUGAAAAAAUUAGAGUGUUUAAAGCAGGCUCACGCUUGAAUACAUUAGCAUGGAAUAAUGAAAUAGGACAUCCGAUUCUAUUUUGUUGGUUUCUAGGAUCGAUGUAAUGAUUAAUAGGGAUAGUUGGGGGCAUUAGUAUUCAAUUGUCAGAGGUGAAAUUCUUGGAUUUAUUGAAGACUAACUACUGCGAAAGCAUUUGCCAAGGAUGUUUUCAUUAAUCAAGAACGAAAGUUAGGGGAUCGAAGACGAUCAGAUACCGUCGUAGUCUUAACCAUAAACUAUGCCGACUAGGGAUCGGAUGAUGUUAAUUUUUUAAUGACUCAUUCGGCGCCUUACGGGAAACCAAAGUGUUUGGGUUC